rnacentral:rRNA from 1 species
AGGGCACCACCAGGAGUGGAGCUUGCGGCUUAAUUUGACUCAACGCAGGGAAACUCACUUGGUCAGGACACUGUAAGGAUUGACAGAUUGAAAGCUCUUUCUUGAUUCGGUGGAUGGUGGUGCAUGGCCGUUCUUAGUUGGUGGAGUGAUUUGUCUGGUUAAUUCCGAUAACGAACGAGACUCUAUCUUGCUACUAGUCGCAGAUUAUUCUGACUUUGAGCUCUUAAGGGAAGGGGGAUUACCAACAAAUUAACAUAAAGGGUGUAUGCUUAAUUGCCGGGCUCCCCCUGCAACAGGGACUGCACCUUGGGACUAUCCCGGGGGAGAGUGGGAAACCCCCUUAAAAGGUUCUGGGUUGGGAAUUUGGGGUUUUAAAACCCCCCAAAAAAAAAGGAAUCUCCCAAAGGGGGGAGGACAACCCCCCCCCCCCGAAAAAAAAACCCCCCCCCCCCCCCUUUUUUUAAAAAACCCCCCCCCCCCGCGCCUAAAAAAAAAAGGGAGGGGCGGUAAUGAGGGAGU